CUGGGAAAUUUCCACUGAGAAGGAGACACAGGAGCAAAGGGAGGAAGAGAGGGAGGUGGAUGUUAGAGGGAGCAGAGUUCCAGGAAGGGGAACAGCAGGAGUGAAGGCCAAGGGGUGGGGCCCGUCUAUUGCAGGGGCAAUUCGGAGGCCUGGGAGGCUGGAGCUUGGGCGGGGGCAUACGGGGGCGCAUCGGAGGGGCAGGACUUGUAGCCCCUGGAGCUGCUACAAGGAUGCUGAUGUUUUCUCAGACAGGUGCUCCAGGAGGCCUGGGGAUACUUUUACAGGAUCCCCUGACUGCACUGGAGGGUGGUCUCUAGGUGGAUGAAGACAGAGAGACCAGAGGGGCGGUGCCAAGAGACUCCAGAACAGGCCCAGCCUGCUCGCCUGGCUUGUCACCAUGCUGGGCAGGGAUGGCGUCACCCAGCUGGCUGCAUGAAACUGCUGAAGCCCUGUGGGCUGGGCAUCCUGAACCGCACCCUCCUCACCCAGGGUGGCUGCAGAAUUUACCAGGCCCUCUGCACAAUGAAAAUGUGAGAUCCUUGCCCUGAGACGACAGAGAAUCUCAGGACGGCCAUGGCAGAGUGGUGCGUUACCCUUGGUGCCCUGAGCCCUGCAUGAUGAUCCUGGUGGGGCAGCUUGGCCUCCGGGGUCACCCCUCUCUACCAUGCCCAUGAGGACUGGGCUGUGACCAGUACCCUGCUGUGACCCCUGACACACAGACCCCAGCCAUCUCCUCCACCCACUCCCUGACUUCCUCUUCCAGGGAUGCAAUUGGGGGAGCACACACAUCCCCAGAAGGACCCCGGAUGCCUGGCUGUCUCUUACCCAACCCCUGCCCCCAGCUACAGCUGAGGGGCCAGCGUGCCCUGUAGAUUACUCCUGAAGAGAAACCAACGUCACCACCCGCAAGCACCCCAACGCUCCUCAUCCUGAGCCCCAUCUCUGCCCCAUCUUGGCUCCCCAGGCAUAUUUAAAUAUUGCCCCUCCCACCCCCGUGCCUGGCAGAUCCCCUGGCACUGAGACCCAGCCAGUGGCUCCGGCCAACGCACUUGGCUCCUGUAGCAAGUUAAAUCUAACCCAGCCCAGCUGUCUCUCCUCCGGCUCCCACCUGUCCCUCCCGUUCCCUGAAGGGAUGUGCCCACAUCCUGCCCACCCUAAACGGGCCCUCAGGAAGGGCACAGAGGUCCCCAGGGUCCCCCACUUUCCCACGCUUGGGAAGCCCUUUGCCUAGCGGUCU
rnacentral:lncRNA from 13 species